rnacentral:rRNA from 1 species
UGCAAGUCGAACGAGUUCUGAUUAUUGAAAGGUGCUUGCAUUCUUGAUUUAAUUUUGAACGAGUGGCGGACGGGUGAGUAACACGUGGGUAACCUGCCCUUAAGUGGGGGAUAACAUUUGGAAACAGAUGCUAAUACCGCAUAAAUCCAAGAACCGCAUGGUUCUUGGCUGAAAGAUGGCGUAAGCUAUCGCUUUUGGAUGGACCCGCGGCGUAUUAGCUAGUUGGUGAGGUAACGGCUCACCAAGGCAAUGAUACGUAGCCGAACUGAGAGGUUGAUCGGCCACAUUGGGACUGAGACACGGCCCAAACUCCUACGGGAGGCAGCAGUAGGGAAUCUUCCACAAUGGACGCAAGUCUGAUGGAGCAACGCCGCGUGAGUGAAGAAGGCUUUCGGGUCGUAAAACUCUGUUGUUGGAGAAGAAUGGUCGGCAGAGUAACUGUUGUCGGCGUGACGGUAUCCAACCAGAAAGCCACGGCUAACUACGUGCCAGCAGCCGCGGUAAUACGUAGGUGGCAAGCGUUAUCCGGAUUUAUUGGGCGUAAAGCGAGCGCAGGCGGUUUUUUAAGUCUGAUGUGAAAGCCCUCGGCUUAACCGAGGAAGUGCAUCGGAAACUGGGAAACUUGAGUGCAGAAGAGGACAGUGGAACUCCAUGUGUAGCGGUGAAAUGCGUAGAUAUAUGGAAGAACACCAGUGGCGAAGGCGGCUGUCUGGUCUGUAACUGACGCUGAGGCUCGAAAGCAUGGGUAGCGAACAGGAUUAGAUACCCUGGUAGUCCAUGCCGUAAACGAUGAAUGCUAGGUGUUGGAGGGUUUCCGCCCUUCAGUGCCGCAGCUAACGCAUUAAGCAUUCCGCCUGGGGAGUACGACCGCAAGGUUGAAACUCAAAGGAAUUGACGGGGGCCCGCACAAGCGGUGGAGCAUGUGGUUUAAUUCGAAGCAACGCGAAGAACCUUACCAGGUCUUGACAUCUUUUGAUCACCUGAGAGAUCAGGUUUCCCCUUCGGGGGCAAAAUGACAGGUGGUGCAUGGUUGUCGUCAGCUCGUGUCGUGAGAUGUUGGGUUAAGUCCCGCAACGAGCGCAACCCUUAUGACUAGUUGCCAGCAUUUAGUUGGGCACUCUAGUAAGACUGCCGGUGACAAACCGGAGGAAGGUGGGGAUGACGUCAAAUCAUCAUGCCCCUUAUGACCUGGGCUACACACGUGCUACAAUGGAUGGUACAACGAGUUGCGAGACCGCGAGGUCAAGCUAAUCUCUUAAAGCCAUUCUCAGUUCGGACUGUAGGCUGCAACUCGCCUACACGAAGUCGGAAUCGCUAGUAAUCGCGGAUCAGCACGCCGCGGUGAAUACGUUCCCGGGCCUUGUACACACCGCCCGUCACACCAUGAGAGUUUGUAACACCCGAAGCCGGUGGCGUAACCCUUUUAGGGAGCGAGCCGUCUAAGG